rnacentral:rRNA from 1 species
UACAGAGGAGCCAAGCGUUGUCCGGAUUGACUGGGCGUAAAGCGCACGCAGGCGGACGCGCGCGUGGGGUGUGAAAUCUGGCCGUUUAACGGCCAGGCGCCAUCCCAUACGGCGCGUCUGGAGCAAUGCAGAGGUCGGUGGAAUUGCCGGUGUAGUGGUGAAAUGCGUAGAUAUCAGGAGGAACACCUGUGGCGAAAGCGGCUCACUGGACCACAACUGACGCUGAUGCGCGAAAGCUAGGGGAGCAAACAGG